AGAGCGUGUUAUGGAGCGGCGGGCCUCGGAGUAUCUUCUUGGAAACUGUGCGAUGUCAUCGCACCCCUUACCCGACCCCAUCAAGCCCCACAUGACGUCAUCAUGCUCUCACGUGAUGUCAUCACGCCCCAUGGCGCGGCCUGAAAGUCUAUCAGGCACAAUGACUUCAUGAGUGAGAGAGGCCAGCAAGUCCAAGGACAAAUCAAAUUCUGUGGCUGAAUGGGACCCCCAGGACAUCUACGCCCGGCUUCUGAGGGACAAGGGUAUUUUACCUGGAACAAACUCCCUCACCAACAAAACAAGACCCAGCCCUGCCCGCAUGGAGAAAGCCACACGCGGCUAAUGAAGUGGACCGGACCACGCAGGAAAGAUCGGGACACCGAGACGCCGAAUGAAUGGUACGGAAGGAGGAGGUCGGCAACGGCGCAGCUGCGACUCCGGGUCACGCGCCCUGUGCUCCGGGACCAUUUCCCACCGGCCACGCGUCAACGUCCGAUCAAGAUGUUCGCUCCUCUCUCCUUCGUGCGUCUGUUUGUCUGUUCUUAUCAGUUUUCCCCAAAGCCUCCAAUUUCGUGCAGUGUCAACAGAAGCAGUGCGGGCCACGGAGAUGCAGAGAGCAUUUUAGGAAUGCGAGGGAGGAGAAUGCAGUGAAGGAAGGAAGAAGUUAGCAGCUUUGUCUCUAACAUGCUUUAAAAACAGGGAAUAUGGGCAGAGGAACCCUGGGGGGCCGGGGGACCUUCGGAGGCCAACUGGGCACAGAGAGACCCUGGGGGGCGCGGAAGGCCCAAGGCAGCUGGUCUGAAUUCCCAACCACCCGGAGUCUUAGAAUUCUCAAAUCCUCCCCUGACAUUUUCAGAACAAAUCAGUUUGAAUUCACUGGAGUUAGAAACAUGUUUGCAGUCAUGGCCCGACUAGGAAUCCCAGGACAGGGUUUCUACUGUAGAGCUCCCCGAAAUCUCAGUACCCUCUGAGCAGCGGUGGGGGAGGGAGGCAGGUCUGGGAGACGAGGGGCC